ACCCAACUAAUGACUCCCAAAUAGGACGAAACGCGCGUCUUAGAU
rfam:Schistosoma mansoni, Puerto Rico, WGS project CABG01000000 data, contig: 0032